GCCCAGGAAAGUAAGGCACUCAUGUCCUCUGGAGACCGUGGUUCAGCUCUCCAGUCAAAAUCCUGGGCUUUGAUCUGGGAUUAGAUCUGUGUGUAUAGAUCUGUAUAUAUAUAGCAAUUGCUUAUUCAUGGCAGAAUGCUUUCUUGAAGUUCCUGCAAACCUGGAAACAGGUUUUUGAAUCUCCUUUGAUAAUCCUGUGUGGAAGCUGUCAGGCGUGGGGCACUCCAGCAUGUUUAGAGCUCCUACACAUUUCCAAAUUGAGAAGUGCGAGAGAGAGUCAUCUUAGCAAGAGAAAAGCUCCCUCCUGUGGAAGAGAUGAACCUCUGCUGUGACAAGGAGCAGCCAUAAGGACAUUACACCGUGAUUUUAAAUUAGCAGGGAAAGGGGUUACAAGCACGGUGGGACUUUGCAAAUACUGGAAUCCAAAACCCUGUCCUGUUAUUUUUUUUCUCAAAGUAAAUUUUUCAUAUUUUGUAUGGCUUAUAUCUAUAACUGUAUGUCAAUUAUAACUGUUGUCUGUGAGUAAAACUGGAUUGUUUAAAUAAUAUGUGGCCACAGUGAACUCUAUAGUGUUAAAGGGAUCUAAAGCAGCUGACAUUUUAAUAAUAUAAUAUAAUAUAUAUAUAUGAUAUAUAAAGAUUUUGCUUUCUGUAGCUCUUUGCUGACAAACCUUAGUAUUUUGGAAAUUUGUGUGAAUUCGAGUUUGUAGAGCUUACUUUUAAAAAACUUUUACUUUUUUGCUUUUUUACUUUUACUUUUUUUGUUUUCCUUUUUUUUUAAAAAGUCUGAUAAUCUGUAUACCUUGAAGAUCUGUAUUAAAAUGUUUCUGAAUCUUGCUCUGAUUGGUGUUCCUUGAUAGAAAGCUCUGCUGAGCUCAAAGCCCCAUGUAACUUGGAAAAUAAAGCUGCACAGAAAUUAUAAAGAUGAAAUUGU
ensembl:lncRNA